CUUGCUUGUCACCUGUCUCACCUCACUGCAGAUCUCCUCUGAGGCUCAGAAGAGAGUCUCCGAGCAGGAGUGCUGUGAGCAAUGGCCCUGGUGAAGACAAAGAAGAGCCCUGAGCAGAGACGGCCUCGACAGACUGGAAUCCAAUGAGCCAGCGUGCUGACGCAGAGCAAGUCCACGGUUUCAACAGGCGCAAGACCCCAAGCUGCUGCCAGCCCACCACGAGACCUCUGGUGGGUAGAGCUCCCCCCACCCACAGGCAAGGAAGAGAGAAUCUCAUCAGAUGUGGCUGUACUUCACAGGGGUAGGAAAACACAUGGAAGUCAAAAGAAUCUCAGCGGUCACUUUUUUAAAUAUAUUUUUUAGUUGUGGAUGGAUACAA